AGCGGCGUUCUUCACGCUAUCCACGUCAGCGGAAAUUUUUUUAGCUACUCGAUUGUGGAUCAACGGCUCACAUAUCUCUGAAGACCACUCCCUCGUUACCUUCGCUGCUUCUGGAAAUACAAUACCGGUUCAAAGCGGCGUUCUUCACGCUAUCCACGUCAGCGGAAAUUUUUUUAGCUACUCGAUUGUGGAUCAACGGCUCACAUAUCUCUGAAGACCACUCCCUCGUUACCUUCGCUGCUUCUGGAAAUUUCCUCUCCUCAGUCCUCACACAGUCAAACUUCCAUCUUGUCCCUCAUCCUUGCUCCCUCCGCCGCGUCUUCCGUUUCCAGCCUCCGCCGCGUCUUCCGUCUCGAGCCUCCGCCGCGUCUUCCGUCUCCAGCACUCCAGCAGGUCAUAUUCGUCCUCUGCUGAAGACAAAAUUCGUGAGG